UGGCCCUACGGGGGCAGCAGUGGGGAAUAUUGCACAAUGGGGGAAACCCUGAUGCAGCGACGCCGCGUGGAGGAAGAAGGUCUUCGGAUUGUAAACUCCUGUCCUUGGGGACGAUAAUGACGGUACCCAAGGAGGAAGCACCGGCUAACUAAGUGCCAGCAGCCGCGGUAAAACGUAGGGUGCAGGCGUUGUCCGGAAUUACUGGGUGUAAAGGGAGCGCUGGCGGGUUGACAAGUUGGGGGUGAAAACUACGGGCUCAAC
rnacentral:rRNA from 1 species